AUCUCUUCUUUCAUGAUUCAUUUUUUUUCCUUGUCCUUGUCCUUGUGGAGUGUGGGGUACUCAAAGAAAAUGUAACGUUUUGUGUGACGCAGAGUUCCCUGCAACAAACAUGGCGGAGUUAGAUUUACCAUCAACGGAAGGGAUUAUUUUGAACUCGUCUUGAUAUCGAACGUCGGUGGACCUGGAUCGGUAGCAUCAGUUCAAAUCAAAGGCACCAGAACCAGUUGGAUGGCAAUGUCUAGGAACUGGGGUGCCAAUUGGCAGUCCAACGUCUAUCUCAAUGGCCAAGCCUUAUCCUUCAGAGUAACUACGUCUGAUGGUCAGACCAAGGUGUUUCCAAACAUCGUCCCAUCAAAUUGGAACUUCGGCCAAACGUUUUCCAGCCC
rnacentral:lncRNA from 1 species